AUUGAACGCUGGCGGCAUGCCUUACACAUGCAAGUCGAACGGUAACAGGUCUUUCGGGAUGCUGACGAGUGGCGAACGGGUGAGUAAUACAUCGGAACGUGCCUAGUAGUGGGGGAUAACUACUCGAAAGAGUGGCUAAUACCGCAUGAGAUCUAUGGAUGAAAGCAGGGGACCUUUGGGCCUUGUGCUACUAGAGCGGCCGAUGGCAGAUUAGGUAGUUGGUGGGAUAAAAGCUUACCAAGCCUACGAUCUGUAGCUGGUCUGAGAGGACGAUCAGCCACACUGGGACUGAGACACGGCCCAGACUCCUACGGGAGGCAGCAGUGGGGAAUUUUGGACAAUGGGCGCAAGCCUGAUCCAGCAAUGCCGCGUGCAGGAUGAAGGCCUUCGGGUUGUGAACUGCUUUUGUACGGAACGAAAAGUCUUGGGUUAAUACCCUGGGAUCAUGACGGUACCGGAAGAAUAAGCACCGGCUAACUACGUG
rnacentral:rRNA from 1 species